GAUCAUGGCUCAGAACGAACGCUGGCGGCAGGCUUAACACAUGCAAGUUGAAUGGGGAUUUGUGUGGUGCUUGCACCAUAUAAUGAGAGUAGCGCACUGGUGAGUAACACGUGGGAACGUGCCUUUUAGUGGGGGAUAACAUCUGGAAACGGAUGCUAAUACCGCAUACGCCCUGAGGGGGAAAGAUUUAUUGCUAAGAGGUCGGCCCGCGGGUAGAUUAGGCAGUUGGUGGGGUAGAGGCCU
rnacentral:rRNA from 1 species